CGGCCGGGCUCAGGCUCGCGCCCGGACUCGCCCCGCAUCCGUGCCAGAGGCUCGCGCACUCAGCGGGUUGGGCUGCGGUGGCGGCGGCGGCGGCUGCUGUGGGAGCCCGAGCGCUGCGCGUGCUAGGUCCUAGACGCGUCUGCGGCGCUCGCCCCGCCACCCUCCUCUCUCACCUCAGUCUCCGCGCCGCGUUCUGAGGGAAGGAACGGCGCUAGGCUAGCGAAGCCCGAGCGCACCGCUGGCUGCCUCCGACACCGCCCUGCGUCCCUUCGCGGUCGCGGGCCUGGCUGGGUGCUAGGCGACUCUGCGGGGAGGCGGCGGCGACGGCUGCCGGUCGGUGGAGUCACUCUCCCUUCAGCCUCGCCCCUCUGCUCGGCCCUGCAGGGGCCGAGAGGACUCCGAGGCUGCCCCUUCCGCUCGGCCCUCUUCGUCAGCGGGUUGGAGCUGCAGCGGUCUGGAAGAGGUCUUUGAGCUGAGGCGGCGGCGGCGGCUCCUCCGGCUCCAUCAUGUCCGCGGGCGGAGACUUCGGGAAUCCGCUGAGGAAAUUCAAGCUGGUGUUCCUAGGAGAGCAGAGCGUUGGAAAGACAUCCUUGAUCACCAGAUUCAUGUAUGAUAGUUUUGACAACACCUAUCAGGCAACAAUUGGCAUUGACUUCUUAUCAAAAACAAUGUACUUGGAGGAUCGAACCAUCAGGCUGCAGCUGUGGGACACUGCGGGUCAGGAACGUUUCCGUAGCCUCAUUCCCAGUUACAUCCGUGACUCUGCUGCAGCCGUAGUAGUUUACGAUAUCACAAGUAGGUAUACUGCAAUGGGCUGACCUUUCUUACUUC
rnacentral:lncRNA from 1 species